rnacentral:rRNA from 1 species
AUUGAACGCUGGCGGCAGGCCUAACACAUGCAAGUCGAGCGAGCGGCGGACGGGUGAGUAAUAUAUCGGAAGUGCCCAGUAGCGGGGGAUAACUACUGGAAACGGUAGCUAAUACCGCAUACUAUCGGAUAACCCAUAGGGGAUUAGGUUGUAGGUGGGGUAACGGCGCACCUAGGCGACGAUCCCUAGCUGGUCUGAGAGGAUGAUCGGCCACACUGUGACUGCGACACGGCCCAGACUCCUACGGAUGCAGCAGUGGUGAAUAUUGCACAAUGGGCGCAAGCCUGAUGCAGCCAUGCCGCGUGUAUGAAGAAGGCCUUCGGGUUGGAAAGUACUUUCAGUCGGGAGGCGUUACCGACAGAAGAAGCACCGGCUAACUCCGUGCCAGCAGCCGCGGUAAUAC